CUCUUAAUUUGGAGCGUCUUUUAGCAGAAAAUCACUUCCUCUCCAACGUUGCUAUGGAGUGCCGUGCUUGUAACUCAUAAAGGUUGGAAUGUAACUUUGCAUUUACCAAAUUUUUGGAAAGUUAAUGGAGAAGAAUAGGGUGACAACGAUAUACAUCCUUUUUCAUUACCGAGAUUCCACCUUACGGUACCAACGAAGGCUCGCUUUCUGGCCAAGAUGAUCAGCGAAGUGAGCAUCAAAGGGACUGAUUAUUGGCAUCAACAUCGUUGGGCUGUUUUAAAAUUUAACUUUGGGUAUAAAUUUUAGACAAUGACGUGGUACUUUACUAUUAAACAUUGGAUACGUUUUGCCCUUACUUUUGAUCCAGUUUGAUGAUAUGAUAAAUUUCUAAUGAUUUUCUUA